GACGAACGCUGGCGGCGUGCCUAACACAUGCAAGUCGUACGGGACCGGGGGCAACUCCGGUUCAGUGGCAGACGGGUGCGUAACACGUGAGGAACUUGUCCGGUGGCGGGGGAUAGCCGGCCCAACGGCCGGGUAAUACCGCAUACGCUCGUUCGGGGGCAUCCCUGGGCGAGGAAAGCAGCCGCAAGGUUGCGCCGACGGAGGGCCUCGCGACCUAUCAGCUUGUUGGCGGGGUAACGGCCCACCAAGGCGACGACGGGUAGCUGGUCUGAGAGGAUGAUCAGCCACAUUGGGACUGAGACACGGCCCAGACUCCUACGGGAGGCAGCAGUGGGGAAUAUUGCGCAAUGGCCGCAAGGCUGACGCAGCGACGCCGCGUGUGGGAUGACGGUCUUCGGAUUGUAAACCACUGUCAGGGGAACGAAUACAGGGCUUCGAUAAGGAGACCCUGGGUGACGGUACCU
rnacentral:rRNA from 1 species